rnacentral:rRNA from 1 species
CAUGCAAGUAGAACGGUAACAGAGAGAGCUUGCUCUUUGCUGACGAGUUGCGAACGGGUGCGUAACGCGUAUGCAACCUACCCAUAACAGGGGGAUAGCCCAUAGAAAUGUGGAUUAAUACCCCAUAAUAUCAUAGAUUGGCAUCAUGAAAUGAUUAAAACUCCGGUGGUUAUGGAUGGGCAUGCGUGACAUUAGCUAGUUGGUGAGGUAACUGCUCACCAAGGCAACGAUGUCUAGGGGUUCUGAGAGGAUGAUCCCCCACACUGGUACUGAGACACGGACCAGACUCCUACGGGAGGCAGCAGUGAGGAAUAUUGCGCAAUGGAGGAAACUCUGACGCAGCCAUGCCGCGUGCAGGAAGACUGCCCUAUGGGUUGUAAACUGCUUUUAUAUAGGAAGAACUAUAGCUACGUGUAGCUAUUUGACGGUACUAUACGAAUAAGGACCGGCUAACUCCGUGCCAGCAGCCGCGGUAAUACGGAGGGUCCAAGCGUUAUCCGGAUUUAUUGGGUUUAAAGGGUCCGUAGGCGGGUUAUUAAGUCAGUGGUGAAAUCCUACAGCUCAACUGUAGAACUGCCAUUGAAACUGUUAACCUUGAGUAUAAUUGAAGUGGGCGGAAUGUGUCAUGUAGCGGUGAAAUGCUUAGAUAUGACACAGAACACCGAUUGCGAAGGCAGCUCACUAAGUUAUAACUGACGCUGAGGGACGAAAGCGUGGGUAGCGAACAGGAUUAGAUACCCUGGUAGUCCACGCCGUAAACGAUGUACACUCGUUGCUGGCGAUACACAGUCAGUGACCAAGCGAAAGUGUUAAGUGUACCACCUGGGGA